GUGCUCACCGCAGCAGCAAAUACACUAAAAUUGGAAUGAUAUGGAUUAGCAUGGCCCCUGCACAAGGAUGACAUGCAAAAUCAUGAAGCACUUCAUAAAAAU
ensembl:snRNA U6 U6 spliceosomal RNA